rnacentral:rRNA from 1 species
UAAAAAUUUUAAGGGUUUAGUUAAAUGAAAAAUAAAUUAAAAGAAUAAAAUUAUAAGUAAUAAAAGGUAAAAUUAAGAUAUUAUUUUGUAUGAUAAAAAAUUAUUAUUGAAGCUAAAAAAACUUAGUAAUAAACUAGGAUUAGAUACCCUAUUAUUCUAAGAUGAAUUAACCUAAACUGAAUUAGUAAAAGAUAAGUACUUAAAAUUUAAAAAAUUUGGCGGCAAUUUAAUCUUUUCAGAGGAACCUGUUUUAAAAUCGAUAAACCACGAAAAAUCUUACUUGCUUUUGUAAAAAUACAGUUUGUAUACCAUCAUUAUCAGAUAAUUCUUAGAGGAAAAAUUAUUAGAUUUAAUUGUUUAGUAAAAUUAGAUCAUGGUGCAGUCUAUGGGCAAGGUGGAAUGGGUUACAAUAAAUUACUUUAUUGCGGAUUAAUAAAAUAAUUAUUAUUAUGAAGAUGGAUUUGAUUGUAUUUCUAAUUUAAUAAGUUAAAAAGAUAUUAGUUCUAAGUUGUGUACAUAUCGCCCGUCGCUUUCAUUUAUA